GUUUUGUAUUUCCUAAAAUACUUUUAAUAAGUAUUUACGAAUUCUACUGAUGCAGGUUAUAACGUUAAAACGUGUCCUUUUGUAAUUUUCAUGCCAUAAAUUGAAAAAGGAAAUCCCAUUUAAACUGGGUUUUUUUUUACACCAGAAAACAGGGACGUUCCCUGAAAGCAGGGAAUACAUGUAUCCCACAUUUCCUGACUUGUGCCCAACCUGUUCAAAGACAAAGUAGAUAGAUUUUAAAGCACGAGUCAGACCAUUUUUACUCAAAGUCUUUAAGAUUUUAUCCUUUAAACAGGAACAGAGGUUAGACACAAAGCAAAUCAAGAUGCACUCAGCGGAUUGAAAGAUGCUUCAGGUUUUUUUUUUUUUCAAAAAA
rnacentral:lncRNA from 1 species